UACGGAAGGCAGCAGUGGGGAAUAUUGCACAAUGGGCGCAAGCCUGAUGCAGCCAUGCCGCGUGUAUGAAGAAGGCCUUCGGGUUGUAAAGUACUUUCAGCGGGGAGGAAGGCGGUGGAGUUAAUAGCUUCACCGAUUGACGUUACCCGCAGAAGAAGCACCGGCUAACUCCGUGCCAGCAGCCGCGGUAAUACGGAGGGUGCAAGCGUUAAUCGGAAUUACUGGGCGUAAAGCGCACGCAGGCGGUCUGUCAAGUCGGAUGUGAAAUCCCCGGGCUUAACCUGGGAACUGCAUUCGAAACUGGCAGGCUAGAGUCUUGUAGAGGGGGUAGAAUUCCAGGUGUAGCGGUGAAAUGCGUAGAGAUCUGGAGGAAUACCGGGUGGCGAAGGCGGGCCCCUGGGACAAAGACUGACGCUCAGGUGCGAAAGCGUGGGGAGCAAACAGGGAUUAGGAUACC
rnacentral:rRNA from 1 species